ensembl:lncRNA
AAAAGGAAACUUUGUAUUACCACAAGUGGAAAAUGAGGAAUUUCAAAGUACAUGUUAAAAAAAAAACACCACAUAAAUAUUGAAAUUUGAAAUGUAUAUCAGCAGAUCACCCCAACUCAUCCUGAGGACCACCAGCAGAACAAUCACUCCCUUGGGCAACCUGGUGCGGGCUGCCUGUGUGGCCGCCUCCAUUUGCUAAUGGGUGGCUCAGAAGGGAACAGGAUCACAAUGUAAUUACAGCCAAUGCAAACAAGACAGGAGAGAAGCAUGAAAAGGAAUAAAUCAUACGGAUGAUAUGAUUAAAGAUGACAUUAGUUACUUAGAAACCACUUUGAACAGUGCUCACUCCAUGGCAGGCCAGCACCAAGCACAAAGCUUACAUUGCUCCAUUAGUCCUCAUCCCACUUCAGAUAAUACGAUUACAUUCCUCUCCCUGUACAGAUGGGAAAACCGAGGCAGAGAUGGUCACACAGAAAUGAGGCAGGCCUAGCAUGAAAGUAGGGUCACCUGACUCGAAAGUCCACACUUUCAGCCAAGAUGCUAUACUGCGUCUCAACUGGCUCUAGUAAUGAAAUUCAAUGUGUUUAUAAAAUACAUAAAACCAGUCUUACCAUAUGCUACCAUAGUCAGAAAUUUUAGUAGAAAAAUGUAUCCAACCACAAUACAGAAUGCUUCUAGGAACAUACUUCAUAAACGUGCUUAAUUUGAAUGAAGUCUAAAAUUCCCAAGAGAUGUGAAAAUCAUCCUAUCUUGAAUUAACAGGGAGGCUAGUUCCUAAAUGGGAAGUUUCAGUAACAUGUAUAUAAAUGCAAUUCAACUCCAACAAAAUCCAAAUACUUGAAAAAAGAAUGGCGGGGGCCUGUAUUACUUAUAUUAAAGCAGAUAUUAUAAAGCCAAAUACUUAAAACAUUGAGUUGGCACAAGAAAAGACAUCAGUGGAGCAGACUGAAGAGUUCAUGAACAGAUUCAGAGUAUUUAGCCCAUAAUUAACAAAUCAGUAGAGAGACCAAUUAUUUAGUGAAGGUGUGGGAAAAUUUGUUAGCCACUUCAAAAGAUCUAAAUUAGAUUCUUACUUCAUACUGUACACAAAAACUUCUAGAUGGAGUAAAAAUGUUAAAUGUCAAAAAUGAAACCACACAAGAACCAGAAAAAGGACUUCCCUGGCAGGUCAGUGGUUACAACCCUGCGUUUCCAAGGUCUAGAUUCGAACUAAGAUCCCACAAGCUGCGCAGCGACACUGAAGUACAUAACCCUAAUGAUAAAAUCAGAUUUGGUUACAAAAUUUAAAACCAACAGCAAGAUCCAAGAUGUAAACUUAAAAAGCAAAUUACAAACUUGAAAAACAUUUUGUAGUUCUCUACAGUAUGUGUCCUCAACAUAAAAAAGGAUUCUCAGGAAGCGACAAAAAUAAAAGUGAAGCACAAAGCAGAUGCAGAGAUCAACUAACACACACGGAUUAGUGUAUAUUCAGCCCUAGAGUCAAAAUGUGCAAAUUAACACACUAAGACACUGCUUAAACUGCCGAUCAGUUUGGCUUAAACUGCCAAGGGCAGGGCCGGGCUGAAGUGUGCUGGCCUUUCAAGAAGGCACUCAGAAAGGUGAGACCAAAGCCUUCACACUGGCCGUGCCCACUGAGCCAGUCAUGUCACCAGUAAGAAAUUCCCCGAAGGAAACAAUCAGAUUUCUGCACAAUGACGUCUUCCAAGACAAAGAAAAGCAUCCUGGUGUAUUUCAACAGUAAAUGAGAGAAAAUCAUAAUCAGAAAACAGAAUUGUGUUUGGUUGAAAAACAAACCCAUACACAUUACCUCUGAAGAGACGCAGGCCACUGCUGAUGCACAGGUGAAACAAUAAAAUAACUGAAGGGAAGGCCUGGCUGUCUCACCUCCAGUCACCUUCAGUUCAUCCCUAGUAUAGACACCACGAGUCUGGUACAGGAGGGGUGGGCCAACCCUGAGGAAGGGCUGGGCUGGGGAGGAUGGUCAGUGAGGGGACAAACAGGCCACUGAAGCAGACCCCAAAUCAACUGCCAUGUGCCCGACAGGACAAUGUGGAUGUGGAUGGUGGCCUUGAGACACUAAAGCAAUGGUAAAUUCUAGUUUGCACCACUCUGAUAAGGCAGGAAAGCAUGCAAGACAUUUUGUAAACAGUCUGUCAGGCAUGGACAGGAGAAAAAGGCAGUUCAGGGUCAGGCGCUGCUUUCCAGGACAGGAUUCUCCUUAGACAUUCUGGGUACACAGAUCAUCCUAGCUGACAGGAGUCAGCCACACAGGGACAGAGGUUCAGAAUGCAAACCCUCCAGCUGAACUCCCUUCCUAGGAGGUGACCCUAGAAUAUGCCCAAUUCAUUCUUCACGCUGGGUCUGCAGAAAGCUAUUGGCAUUGUUGGCAGUAUGUUUUGGAGCAUUUCACCUGUAAAGUCCACUGAACAGGACAUUGCAAGUUCAACAGUGACAAGUAACCAUUAGGCUCAGUAGGAAAACAUGAAGUGCUGUGAUGGGGGCGAUCCUGAGGGUGGGUGCUGGGGGCUCUCUGGAAGCAGGUUGGGACGCCCAGACACACAGUAAGAAAAUGGCUAAAAUAGUCAUACAAAUGUGAGAGAGUAACCAUUAGAGUCAUGAAAAUAUUAGUUACUGACAGAUUAAGAUGAGUCUAAUGGGCCACAGCUUUCCACAUCCUUUGGACCCAAAUCAAAAUAACGGGAGUCAACGGGAGGACAUGCCUUAUCCUUGCACAAGGAGGCAACAGCAUGAAGACAUCAUACGGAAGGAAAAGUAGACAUGCACGAACCCCAGGAAAAUCUGGGAGUGAAAGGAGGCAGGCCUAUCCUCACCACAUAGUGGGGCACAGAGCCACAGUGUGGGGAACUGGAGCUGCAACAUGCGCAGACAAAUGGGGAACAGGCACGUAAACCAGUAAGGUGCAGGGACGAUAGGCGGGUUGCCAGUUACUCAUUAUGGCAAAAGUCCAGAUGGAGCUAAGAUUCAAAUAGAAAUAAAACCUUAAAAGAACUGGGUAAUACACAAGGUUUAACAAAAAAUAAUCUUGAGCUGGAUUAGUCUUUCUGAAAGACAAGAAAGAAAGUGAAGUCACUCAGUUGUGUCCAACUCUUUGCGACCCCAUGGACUGUAGCCCACCAGGAUCCUCCAUCCAUGGGAUUUUUCAGGCAAGAGUACUGGAGUGGGUUGCCAUUUCCUCUCAUAAAAUUCAGUAGUCAUAAAAGAAAACACUCAUAAAAAAGCUUAAAUAUAUUUAAAACUCUUGAACACCAAAAAAUCUAGAAGCAUAAAAUUUAAAGGUAAAUGACAAACAGUAUUUGCAGCACAAAUGACAAAGAGUUAUUAACUAAUAUGUUAAGAGCUCUUCUUUACCAGCUGAGCCACAAGGGGAGCCCUAAGAGCUCUUAAAAAUCCCCAAGUGCACAGCCCAACAGAAAUGCAAAUCAAAACUGCAAUGACAUAACUGUUUUUACUUUUCACAUAGACAAAUAAGUUCAAGAACAGUGUCGGUAAAGGUGUAGGGAAUGGUCAACCAGAACAGCCUUCCUGGAGUGUAAGCUGACGGCUCCCUCAUUUUGGAAAGGAACGAACUACGGGCCAGAAUUUCCCUCAAAAGAAACGUACGGCGCAGAUGCAGCUGCCGUGUACACCGAAACACACAGAAACGGAUACUUAGUAUAGAUUUACAUACAGUAAAAGUUGCUGCAAACAACCUUAUUUGUUCCUCAAAAGGGGAAUGGAUAAUUCAAACAUGGACCUGUACAGAUACUACACCAAGGCAGACAAGAAUACAGGUACACGGCGAGCUCAAUGCACUGUUAUCUGAACCAUCCAGUGUAACAUAGGGCCUCACAGCAAAAUACAUACACGAGCUCUCCAGAAAGCUCCAGCAACUAACUGGCCACAAUAGCAGUCUCUACGGGAAGGGAGGGCCAGGGGUUAGAGGGGAAAACAUCAUGGUAACUCUUAUGGGUUUGGAUUUUAACAUGUGCAGGUUUUACCCUGAACAUUUUUUACACCUUUACAUUGAAUUAGAGAAGUCUUUGCCCUUAGGGUCAGCUCAGGGCAGAGGCAGGGCCUGGAUCUGACACCAAGACGACGGGUCACACAGCUGUCACAUUGACAGAAGAGUAAGGGGGACACUGCAGCCAUCACCCCAGAAGCUGCGGGGAGAGAACAAGGCUGGGGGGACUGACCCUAAGAGGAGAGAGAGAGACAGAGGGAUUCACACCCGUGUUCCUGCCACUGGGUGGCCUCUCAGAGGAGAGCGAGCACAUACUAAACCAGAAAGCAGCCGAGGCAGUGCUGAGAAGACAGGGGGCAGACUGUGCCUCACCUGCACACACCUCUUUCCCCUGAGGACAGAAAUGCUGCAGACAGCUGCCAGUCAGGUUUCAACAGACCAAACACAGAAGGUAAUUUUGCAAACGUCACAACUGCUUUUCUAGAAGAGUUUGUUUUUCAACCUGCUUAGGGGAAGAACACUGGAAAAGAUUGAGGUUUGUUAGGCCUGUCCUUGUUUUGUGCUAAAAAGUCGGACACCAUCUUCAGUUAAAAUCUGGUUAUGAACAAGCAGUUUCAACUGAAUUUCACAGCACAUUAGGAGAAGACCAGCAUUAUUCUACUUGGGCAGCAGAAACUCUCAAGCCACCUCACAAGACUGUGAGUCCCAGACCUGGACAGCACCGGGGUAGGAGAGCUGGCUACAGGGCGUGUGGAGCAGGUGUGCCUGGAGCUCACGCUUCCUGCAGGCAUCAUGAGCUGAGGGCUGGCAUAGCACAUGUGCAAAGAGGUAUCUACAAGAUGCUCACUGCAGCACUAUCUGUAUGGCCAGAAAACCCUGGAAAUCACCUUAGAAACUCAACAACAGGAAAACGGUUAAAAUGACUAUGCCAACAUGCGCAAGAUUAAAUAAACAUUAUAGAAUCAUGAAAAUAAUAAAGAUGUUUGCAUGUUUGCAGCUGAGCAGAUAAUAACAGGAUAAAACUGUUGUAUGUCCACGGAGGGGAAAUGUCUGAAGGACAAUAAAUGAAGUUUCUAUUAAUAACUAUUCUUGGGAGAAGAACUGCAGAGAAACAUCUAUGUUCUAUGUUUUUCUACAUACUGUUUAAAAUUUAAAUGCAAAACUAGUGAUUUAUAGAGGGAUUAAUAUAAAUUCUGCCACAAAUGUACAUUCCACAGUCCCAUCCAUUACCACAGUACACAGUAUAGUAACAUUAGCCAUGAACUUACCUAAAUCUUCCAAGUUUUGGUCCCUUCAAGAGUUGCUGCAAUGCAGAGACAAGUGCAGAACAAAGCCACAGGGGGACGUGGAUGGAGAGUGUUUGGCUGGGUAUUCUCAGUAGCCUUAUGACAUGAAUAAUUGAAAAAAUUGUACUUUAAGAAGAUUACAAAUGAUUAUAUGCCUUGCAUUCUGGCACCUCCAUCAGCUUCAAGUCCACAAAUAUAAACCCACAGAUGGCAAGAGUCCAUUGUACCCAUUAAAGUCUCAGUGGGUCACUGUGAAUCCAUGACAGAUCAGAGACAGCAACUGGCAGGAAUCUUAGAGCUUGCUUUUCAGACUGUCAGAGAGGAUAUGCACAUAUACACUCAUCCCCUGGCAAGCAAAUCUGUAGACCCACUCCGGAGAACCGGGCAGAACUGAGCAUACAAUGUCUGACAUUUUGGUACCUACUCCGAGAAAUAUUCAUGUGUAUGCACACAGGGUGUGUAUGACAACGAUCACACAGCAUCCAAAGGGACUGGAAAUAGUGUAAAUAUCCACCAGCAGCAGCAGGUCUAAAUAACUCAUGGAACAUCUAAGUAAAGGACUAGUACCCAGCCGCUUAAUACAAGGCUGGCAGUUCAACACGUACUCAUGGGAAUCUCCCUACUGCCAAAUGAAAAAGGCAAGUCAGGAAUGAUAUAUGGUAUAAAACAGUAUUUUCCCACUUACAUAGAUUUUUUAAAUAUUAAAUGUGGAUUAAAAUGUAUAGAAAAAGGUCUAGCAGGAAACAGCACUCAAGGUGGGGUUGGUUGGGGUCGGGGGGUGGUGUGACAACCUAGUCAGUCAAGCUUUAAUUCUGUAUAAGAGAGCAUCCACCUACCACUUAUCCAAUUACACUGACCAGAAUAAAAAACAAUGGGAAAAAUGGAAUCAUUAACUAUGUCCAUAUAGUCACAUUAGACUCCAAAAUUACGCACAAGGUAAAGGAUGAAUCUUAAUACCAUUAAAUGAGAAAAAUUCCAGAAGCUUAUACUUUUUCUAUAAAGUUAAAAACUACUAAAAUGAAAAUUAUAGUUCACUUAGGUAAGUUUUUUUCUUUUUCCAAAGUUAUAUGAGAAAAGAAGAAGUAAAAGAGAAACUUAGUAUUCAGGAUCAUAACUACUUUGGCUUAGAGGGAGGCAGGAAGGGAAACGAGUAGAACCCCAUAGGUGGCCAAAGUCACAGUCUAAAUGUCCUAGUUAUAUACUAGAAGAUUCAAAACUGUUUGCCACAGCAUCAAAACAUCACGGAACCAAAUAUAAGACAGCCAUGUUUUACGUCUCGAACCAAAGAUUAACCCAGUUCUGUGUGCUCAAGUUCCAACAAAGAGAAAGAAUAUUCUUGCCUUAAGGAGUAGCAUAUCUUCCACUUACUAGAUUUUAUAAUGAACACUUAGUCAUUAAAAUCCAAAGCAUUUGAUUAGAAACAGCAAAAACUAAAGACUAAAAAUGUGAGAAGUAGAUUCAGGCAGAUAAUUACAAGCAGCUAAUACAGACAGACCUGCAACAAAAGCACGAUGACAGUAUUUGCUUAAAGUCUGAUAAUUCAACUUUGUCAGUGUAAUCAGUUUAGAUACACCAAGCAGGCUGGAUACAUAACUCCUUAAAUGGAGAAGAGCAUUUACUGUAAGGUGGGAGUACACACGUUUAGCUACUAAAGAAAAAGUAAUCAGAAGUUAAACGUAUUAGUUGUUACUAUUAGUCUUGUUACAUCAAUCUUUAAAAUGUCUUUGUAUAAUACUUUCUAAGCACAACAGUAAAAGGAAAAAAUGAGAGUAAGUUUGAUAAUCACUGGCAAAAGCUUCCCUUCCCAACUAUACAAGGAAUUCAUGAUCUUUAUAAAAUAUAGAAAUUUUAUAUAUUUGGUCAAUUUUAUACAUUUGGUAAAUGGUCAAAGAAAAAAUACAAAUGGUAAAUCAAGUGGUAAAACAGACUAAACAGUAAUUACAGAAAUACAGGCUGACCACGUAAGUACUUUUUAAAUAAAGCAACAAUAAAUACUUUAUAACAUUCAACGUGGCAACAGUUUCUUGGACAUGACACCAAAAGCAGAGGAAACAAAAGUAAAAACAGAUGAAUUGAAUUACAUCAAAAUUAGAAACUUCUGUGCAUCAAAAGACACAAUCAACAGUGAAAAGGCAACCUAUGGAAUGGAAAAACAUAUUUGUAAACCAUGUAUCUGAUAAGGGGUUCAUAUCCAGAAUAUGUAAAUAACCCCCAUAAAUCAACAACAAAAAACAAAUAAACCAUUUUUUUAACUGGGCAAAGGUGAAAAGACAUUUCUCUGAAGAUACAGAAUUGGGCAGACAGCAUAUGAAAAGAUACAACACCACUAUUAGGGAAGAGUAAAUCAAAAUCACAAUGAAAUAUCACUUCACACCCAUUAAGAUGGCUACACUAAAAAAACAAGUGUUGGUGAGGCUAUGAAACCUUGUAAAUUGUCCAUAGGAGUAUAAAAUGGUGCAGCUGCUACAGAAGAUAGUAUGAAAGUUCUCCCCAAAUUUAACAUAACGAUAUCCUAUGAGGCAACCAUACCCCUUCUGGGUAUAUAUCCAAAAGAAUUGAAAGCAGUGUCUCAAAAAGGCAUUUGUACACCCAUGUUCGUAACAGAAUUAUUCACAACUUAAAAGUAGAAGCAACCCAAUGUUCAAGGAUGAGAUGUUCAAUAGAUAUGUCCAAUGGAUAAACAAGUUGUGAUGUAUACAUACAAUGCAAUAUUCUUCUAAGAAGGAAAAAAAUCUUGACACAUGGUACAAUAUGGAUGAACCUAGGGGACAUUAUGCUACAUAAAAUAAGCCAGUCACAAAACACAAAUAUUAUAUGAUUCCACUUAAUACGAGGUACCCAGAGUUCUCAAACUCAUAGAAACAGAGAAGCAGAAUGGUGGUUGCCCAGGGUUAGGGAGAAGAGGAUGAGUUUAAUGGGUACAGAGUUCCAAUUUUGCCAAAUGAGAAAAUUCUGGAGAUUAUCUGAACGCUACUGAACUGUACAGUAGAAUGGUUAAGAUGGUGAUGCAUGUUAUGCAUAUUUUACCACUCAUUUCUUUAGAAAGUAGCAAUAAAUAAAACAAAAAAACCUGAUGCUAGCAGUUAUGAAAGGAAAUAGAUAUUCUCACAAAAGUAAGUGUAAGGUAUCUGGAAAGUAUCUGAGAGUCUGCUCAGUGACCAGGCUGUGCCACCCUAGAGAACAGAUAUGGAUAUAUAUAUAUAUAUUUCUACCAAUACAUAUUUACAUAUUUUCACAAAACUUGAGAUGCUCAUACUAGCACAAAUGAAAAGUUAAAACACUGUUUACAACUUAAGAGACCGGCUCAACGUGUUAUAGCAUAUGCACAAUAGGAUAAAGUAAUGCAACUGUUCAUUCAUGGUAUUUUCUUGAGGUCAUGAACCCCCUUCAGCAAGCUUAUGGUUUCCGCGGAAAAACAGUUUCAGAGCACUCACAGGCUUCUACAAGAGUCCUCCAUGGGAUUUCUGUGGGAGAAUUAAUAUCCCUGAGAAAAAGCACUUCCAACACAUUUGUGGACUCUGCUAAUACAAAAAAUCUGCAUGGAAACAAACUUAAGGUGGAAAACCAGAACAGCCCAGAACAUGUACACAGAUUACACUACAUGAAAGGCCCAGAGAAGGUGAGUGAGUAGUGGGAACCAGAAGGAAGAGGCUGGACCUAGGCUGGCCACGAAGGAGGCGAAGGAAUCACCAUCACCACUCAAUGAGGAGCGGCCACGUGCCAAAUACAGACAUCCAUUCAUUCUCCCACCUCACACAGGAGGAAAACCAGCCCCGAGAGGCUCAGAAACUGCUCCCAGUCAGGAGUAGAUCUGCACGUCUGUCUGCACCAGAACCGCCCCCAGUUGGGCUCAGUUAACACAACGGCCACCUGCCCGCAAGUCUUCAGUGAACUGUCCAGUUGUGACAAGUCUCCCAGCUGAAAGCACUCUCUGCCACUCCAUCAUCCAGCCACAGGGAAGGAGCAAGCCCAGGGGCUCUGAGGGGGUACCAGGCCUCCCCUUGUACACACACACACAACCCCCAGUCCCGUCUGCUAAUAAACUCCAGUUGGAGUGAAUGUUUAAAUGUAAAAAAUGAAAUCAUACAAUUGUCACAAAAUAACAGAGAUUAAUACUUACAUGCUUUGGGAUUGGGAGAGAUCUAAACUAACACAAGUACAGAAACCACAGGAAAAAUGAUGGACUCAGAAAAACUGUGACUUUUGUAUGACUGAAAAACAAAUGAAAAGGCAAUCUACAAACUGGAAAAAUAUUUGCAUCAAAGAGAAUGAAGCAUUAGUGAUACAUAAGUGCUUUUACAAAAUAGAAAAACGAGCCAUUUCAAAGUACAAAGUCACACAUGGAUGCACACACAACACUGCAGAUGUCAAAACACACAGAUGUUCAGUACACUAGCAGGGCUCACACACACAAAAAGCUGCCUGGACCCAAAAGGGGAGCAAAGGUUUUUAGUGUGAAACUACCUCAUUUGAGAAAAAGUAGGGACAAGGUUUACCUUAAGAUUGAGGACACUAUUUACAAACCCCUCCCAGGAGGGCAAUUUAGCAAUAUGAACUUAGACGUAAUAAGUCUGACAAAGGCAAUUCAUGUGUUGAAAUAUAUUCAUGUAUCCCCAAGAAAUACUAUCAGAUAUGAUAAAGUCUGAGCUAGAAGGAGGGUUAUCACAGCAUUACUAAGAAAAAGUGGAAAAUAACUUCCAUGUUGUCUAAAUGAAGAUAUUUUAAAUUGAUUAAGUCACACAAUGAACAUUAUGUCACCACAAAGAUGCCUAGGUGAAAAGAGCUGCACAACAGCAUCUACAGUAUAAUUCCAAUUUUGUGUAAAAAGGUAUAUAUCCUAUGCAUGGGAAAAACAACAAACCUCUAGAAGCAAAGAGGCCAAUAACAAUUAUCAAUAAGAUUACUGAGGAGUUUGUUUUUGUCAAUUUUCUUAUUUGUAAACUUUACAAUAAACCCAUUUUACAACAUGAGAACUAACAGUUAUUUAAAAU